UACGGGGGGGGCAAGCGUUGUUCGGAAUUACUGGGCGUAAAGGGCUCGUAGGUGGCCAACUAAGUCAGACGUGAAAUCCCUCGGCUUAACCGGGGAACUGCGUCUGAUACUGGAUGGCUUGAGUUUGGGAGAGGGAUGCGGGAUUCCAGGUGUAGCGGUGAAAUGCGUAGAUAUCUGGAGGAACACCGGUGGCGAAGGCGGCAUCCUGGACCAACACUGACACUGAGGAGCGAAAGCCAGGGGAGCAAACGGG
rnacentral:rRNA from 1 species